rnacentral:rRNA from 1 species
CUAGCGACUUCAGAGUUUGAUCCUGGCUCAGGACGAACGCUGGCGGCGUGCUUAACACAUGCAAGUCGAGCGGGGAUUGAGGAAGUGCUUGCACGGAAUCAAUUCUAGCGGCGGACGGGUGAGUAACGCGUGAACAAUCUGUCCCAGACAGGGGGAUAACACUUGGAAACAGGUGCUAAUACCGCAUAAGACCACGAGGUCGCAUGGCCAUGGGGUAAAAGGAGCAAUCCGGUCUGGGGUGAGUUCGCGUCCGAUUAGCUAGUUGGUGAGGUAACGGCCCACCAAGGCGACGAUCGGUAGCCGACCUGAGAGGGUGAUCGGCCACAUUGGAACUGAGACACGGUCCAA